rnacentral:lncRNA from 1 species
GGAAGACUGUAUGAUGGGGCUAAAAAUGUUUUUGCCUGAGGAAACAGAACGUUUUACUCUUUGCAUUCCAGUCACCUUAUUUGGGGCUUUGAUAACCAACACCAGUGUUAUGCUUGCUGCCUCUGGUACCCUGUAUUUAUGAACCUCAGUCUGAUCACAAGGCAAGCCUUAGGAAGUAUUAGACUCUGAAGCACAGUUAUGAGCAGACUCGUUGGAGGUCAAUUACUCACAGUCUUUUGUGAUGCCUGGCUGACAGUGGAGUUGCCUGAGUGCUCAGAUUGGGGAGCAUCAUGGCUGCAUCUGAUAUAUAUUCUUGUUAAACCAUACUUUUUUUUCCAACUGAAGCAAUAUGUCACAGUUGCUAAAAUGACUAUCUGAAGAGCUAAGUGUAUAAGUUGUACUGGUCAUGUCAUGAGAGAAGCUAACUUGAAAACUGAGAAGAAAAAGAUCAUGCUUUGCUUGAAGAUAGAUCUAAUGAACUUCAGAUGCCAAAGAAUGAUGGGUAGCUCUUGAGUACUUACAAUGAGGAGAAUGAAACUAUUGAAAUGAAUGAAAAGGAGAAAUAAUUUCUGAGGGAAAAUUGUAGCAAGUGUAAACAUAUUAGUAACAG